GUUUCAAUACAUUUCCAUAGAUAAUUUUCAUCAGUUUUUAUAUACACUCGAAUACAUUGUUAUGCACUCGUAAUAACGAAAGCAAUAGAUUCCACAAGGCAUAAGCACACAAUGUUUCUAAUGCAAAGAAAUUCUCAAUCCACAAACUUCACUAUACGACUUUUAUAACAGUGAUACAAAUCUAGUAUUUUCCACUUCAAAAACAUCCAAGGAGUGGUUUCUUUGGAGAACUUCCAGUGGCCCGACAUUUUGCUGCCAUCUCCUCUGCGGUAAGAAGAUCUUCUCCACGUUUAGCUUCAAUCAUCGCUCUCUUUUCUUCUGCUUCCUUGUGGAGUAGAGCAAUUUUGUUUUUCAUUUUCUCAGUAUAUAUUGCCUUCUUUUUCUCCAACUGUUCCUCCAUCUUUUUGAGCUCAGACUCUAGGUUUGCUUUCUUGCUGUUCUCCCAUGCACCAAUUGCAGACACCUUCUUCUGAGCUUUGUUUUCGGCUUUUGAUUUCUCACUUUCUUCCCAUGCUUUGAUGAGUGAUAGCCUCUUCUCAGUUGCAACGCGUGCAAGCACAGCAUCUCUAUCAAUAGAUCCCUCUUUUUUCUCAUCAGCAGCUUCUUCUGCUUUAUUUUCGACAACAACUAGUGCUUUCGAGUCAUCGGGUUUUUCUUUUUCUUCUGCAGGAGGAGGCGGAGCUGGUUCAACUAUGGCUUUCUCAUCAGCCACCACUUCUUUAGGAGCUUCAACUGGUUCUUGUGCAGGGGCAGGGUCCACAAUUUCUACUUUCUUAGCUUCCAAUUCUGCCAUGGCUACAAACAGAAUCAAGAAAACAGAGAAUUCUUGGAAAAAAAGAAGAUAUUUCAGUAGUUGGAGGAAGGUAACUGUCACCCUAAUUGAUUGGACAUACUAUAUAUAAAUUGGACCAUAGAAAACAAGAGAGAAAGAGGGACUAUUUUGGCUUAGC
rnacentral:misc_RNA from 1 species